rnacentral:lncRNA from 1 species
CUCUCACCACCUCAGGCCACUUCCUGGAGUCCCGAGCACAAGGAUCCUGCACAAACACACCCAGCUCUGCGUAUUCCUUCCAGGAGAGGGCAGGGGAAUACAGCUUAUUGCAGAUCUGCUCCUGAACCACAGCCAGCAUUACUCAUGGCCCAGAUCUUCCUGUAUGUCCUCCAGUCUAUUUUGGUUAUUUGAACGCAGUAGAGCCCCCUCAGAAAUGGGAAGUCGUCUGUAACA